rnacentral:rRNA from 1 species
AAACGAGAGGGAAAGUAUCACCGGGCACGAGUAACCCGGUGUGAAGAUAGGGGGCCCAUCCCCUAAGGCUAAAUACUAACAUGUGACCGAUAGUGAACAAGUACCGUGAGGGAAAGGUGAAAAGAACCCCGAAAGGGGAGUGAAAUAGAACCUGAAACCUAGUGCCUACAAGCAGACAGAGCGUGAGCGAACGUGAUGUCGUACCUUUUGUAGAAUGGGCCAGCGAGUUAUUCUAAAUUGCAAGGUUAAUGAUUUAAGAUCAGAAGCCGUAGUGAAAGCGAGUCUUAAUAGGGCGAAAGUAAGUUAGAAUAGACCCGAAACCGGGUGAUCUAUCCAUGGUCAGAGUGAAGUUGAAGUAAAAUUCAAUGGAGGCUCGAACCGGGUGCGGUUUAAAACGCAUCGGAUGAACUGUGGAUAGGGGCGAAAAACCAAACGAACCCGGAGAUAGCUGGUUCUCCUCGAAAUAGCUUUAGGGCUAGCCUCUGACCUAAGAUUUUAGGAGGUAGAGCACUGAAUGGUCUAGGGCGGAUUACCGUACCAAAACCUAUCAAACUCCGAAUGCCAAAAAAUCAAGUCAGGGAGUCAGACUUAGGGGGAUAAGCUUCUAAGUCGAAAGGGAAACAGCCCAGACCGACAGCUAAGGUCCCAAAAUUUGAAUUAAGUGGAAAAGGAUGUGAAUCUACUAAGACAACCAGGACGUUGGCUUAGAAGCAGCCAUGCAUUUAAAGAAUGCGUAAUAGCUCACUGGUCAAGUGGGUUUGCGCCGAAAAUGAACGGGGCUCAAAUUCAAUACCGAAGCUUCGGAUUAAUAGAGGGAUUAAGUUUACAAAUGAGACUAGGAAAUAUUUAACAAAAACAGAAGAGAUUAAAAAGAAAAACAAAUUUCAGACGCAGACAUAAAAGAUAGGAUAUUAAAAAAGAAAAAUAUUCAAAAAACACAAGUCUAAAGUCAAAAGUGAGUAACAUAAGAAAUUAUGAACUAACAAUCACUGGUUAAGAGUUAAAAACUAGGACUCAUAGCUAAACUUAAUACCUCUAUUAGUGGUAGAGGAGCAUUGUAUUAGAGACGAAGCCAAGGCGAAAGCAAAAGUGGAUCUAAUACAAGAGAGAAUGCUGGCAUGAGUAGCGAGAAGGGAUGUGAGAAUCAUCCCCGUCGAAACCCUAAGGACUCCUGAGCAAGGCUCGUCCCCUCAGGGAAAGUCGGGACCUAAGCCAAGGCCGAAAGGCGUAGGCGAUGGAUAACAGGUUUAUAUUCCUGUACCGCUUGAAGUCGUUAAGAGAGAAGUGAUGACGCAAAAGGAUAAGCAAAGCCAUCAGAUGGAAAAGAUGGUCUAAAGCCGUAGGAAGAAAAGUAGGCAAAUCCGCUUUUCACAAAUUCUAAAAGCCGAUAGGUAUCGAAAACAUAAGUAGAGAAGUUGCCGAUUCCAAGUUGCCAAGAAAAGUCACUAUCCAGACCAAAGCGCCCGUACCAAAACCGACACAGGUAGGGAGGUAGAGAAUACCAAGACGCGCGGAAGAACCUUUGUUAAGGAACUCGGCAAAAUGUCCCCGUAACUUCGGGAGAAGGGGAGCCUGAGCAAUCAGGCCACAGAAACCAGGCCCAAGCGACUGUUUACCAAAAACACAAGUUUCUGCAAAAUCGCAAGAUGAAGUAUAGGAGCUGACACCUGCCCGGUGCUGGAAGGUUAAGGGGAAGGCUUAGAGCAAUCGAAGGCUAGAACUUAAGCCCCAGUAAACGGCGGCCGUAACUAUAACGGUCCUAAGGUAGCGAAAUUCCUUGUCGGGUAAGUUCCGACCCGCACGAAAGGUGUAACGAAUAUUGGAUUUUGAGAUUAAAUGUACAGGAUAGUUGGGAGACUGAGAUAUCUGGAUGCCAAUCUAGGAGGAGUCACUGGUGGGAUACCAACCUUUUAAUAUCAAAGUUCUAACCAUAGCCCUUGAAUCAGGGCAUGGGACAUUGUCAGUUGGGCAGUUUGACUGGGGCGGUCGCCUCCUAAAAAGUAACGGAGGCGUUCAAAGGUUCGCUCAGAAUGGACGGAAACCAUUCGUAGAGUAUAAAGGCAGAAGCGAGCUUAACUGCGAGAGCUACAACUCAAGCAGAGUCGAAAGACGGACUUAGUGAUCCGGUGGUACCGCAUGGAAGGGCCAUCGCUCAACGGAUAAAAGCUACCCCGGGGAUAACAGGCUUAUCUCCCCCAAGAGUCCACAUCGACGGGGAGGUUUGGCACCUCGAUGU